UCUCCAUGGCGGGGCCUCGGAGCCAAGACGAGGUUGAGUAGACUCGUUUUGAACUUUUUCUCCUCUGCUCCGGGGCUUUGUGGACGUCCCUCUUCGCCCGGUAGCCCUCUCCGUGGCGGCGGGGCUGGGGGAGUCGGAGGUUUGGUAGAGCUGUCUGCGCCGAUGGACCAGACGCCACCUCCCAAACCCCCUUUCUUCCUCCUGCCUCCUCCCUCCGUCACCUCCUGACCCGUCCGAGCUUUUACAACCGCCGGCCCCCGCCCCUCCGCGCACCGGGCGCUGGCUGCAUCUUUCGCGGUCUUCCUCAGGGUCUUUUCGGGGCCCAACAUGGCGGGCUUUACUGUCCCCGGCCCCGGAGGAGGCUCGGUGACCCCUCUGGAGACCGGCUGGAGGAGGAGGAUGUUAGGUGUUUUGAAGAGGGUUGCUAAGCCUGAAACCGCGUCACUGCCGCUGAGAAGGACCCAGAUCCCUUGGUCGGGAGCAUCUGUGGUGAUCCCUCACUCCGUUCCCCGCCCCCCUUUUUCGGGUUCUUUUUUUCUGUUUCUGAGCCCUUGUAUAUCUUAUGUUUAGAAGGGGAAAGGCGUCCUCCCACGCCCUCUCCCCGGCUUUUUAAUUUUUUUAUUUGGAGUUACCCAGAGGCCUAUGCCUUGUUCUCAGUGGUCCUGAGAAUUACUCUGAUUGAAGUUAGUUGUCUUCUGAGGAAGGUAGGAUGGAUGGAGAGAUGCUAUCCAGAUCCCAAAGUCACUUUGUAAGGCGUUCGCCAGAAAAGUUCCAACGGGGAACUUCAAGAGACAGCGGUUUAGAAUAAGGCAGCAGCUGGAUUGCGAAAUUUGUGGCCAGAGGCUGUUAAAUAAUAGGAUAAAAUGAAAUUGAAUAUGCUAUCAACAUGGAAAAGCCUAAUGAUUCAUUGAGAGUCAACCAUAAUGAUGCUGAAAAGUCAAAAACAGAUGCCCAGGUAUUUGAGCAUCUAACUUGUUUGGACUCCAGGGAUCCUUCCUUUGGAGAAAAUGGUUCUCCUACGGUUGGGCCCGUCACUAUUCAUGAAGCAGAUAAUUCACUCCCAUCACAAAAUAUACCAGGGUCCGUAAACCAGACACAGCCUCCUUCUGCAAAGCAUUUCCAUGUAGUGGACCAAAAUGGGCAACCUGUUCAAUAUGAACUUCAGUCAUUGGGGGAUUCUAAUGCACAAAUGAUGAUUAUUACCAGCCCAUCAGAAAAUGGACAGGUACUACAUGUAAUUCCGACUACCCAGACAGGAAUGACACAAGUAAUUAUACCUCAGGGGCACCCUGUGGAUGUGAAUAGUUCUCAAGUUGUCUCUGAAGAGAAACCCAGUGACGGAAGCUUACCAACUGUAAGUGUGGAUGGUCUAGCAGACAAUACCAGUAGUUGUUGCAUUCUUCAUCCACAAGCAUCCCUCACAUUUCCCAAAAAGACAGUGACCAGAAUACUUGAAGAACCUUUUAUGGCUCCUCUCCAGCCACUUUCUUCUAACACACCUAUAUGGGCCUGCCGUCUUAGAAGCUGUGAGAGAAUUGGAGAUUCAUACCGUGGCUACUGUGUAAGUGAAACUGAAUUAGAAAGUGUCCUAACAUUUCACAAGCAGCAAACUCAGAGUGUUUGGGGGACACGCCAAUCUCCAAGCCCAUCCAAGCCUGCUACACGCUUGAUGUGGAAAUCCCAAUAUGUCCCAUAUGAUGGAAUCCCAUUUGUCAAUGCAGGGAGCAGAGCCGUGGUAAUGGAGUGUCAGUAUGGGCCAAGGAGAAAAGGUUUCCAGUUAAAAAAAAUAAGUGAACAGGAAAGCAGGUCUUGUCAGCUCUACAAAGCCACUUGUCCAGCCCGGAUUUACAUUAAAAAGGUACAGAAGUUUCCUGAAUAUAGAGUUCCUACAGAUCCCAAAAUUGACAAGAAAAUAAUCAGAAUGGAGCAGGAGAAAGCCUUUAACACGCUAAAGAAGAACUUGGUAGAUGCUGGUGGUGUUCUUAGGUGGUAUGUACAGUUACCUACACAGCAGGCUCAUCAGUAUCACGAAUUAGAGACUACCUGCCUCACUUCUUCAUCUUCCCCUUUUCCUAUGUCUUCUCUUGAAGAAGAGGAAAAUGCAGUUAGAGAUGAGAACUGUGCAUUACCCUCACGUCUGCAUCCUCAAGUAGCACAUAAGAUUCGAGAAUUAGUGUCACAGGGAAUAGAACAAGUGUAUGCAGUAAGGAAACAGCUAAGAAAAUUUGUAGAAAGAGAACUGUUCAAACCUGAAGAAGUACCUGAAAGACAUGAUUUAUCUUUUUUCCCAACUGUAAAUGAUAUAAAAAAUCACAUCCAUGAGGUACAGAAAUCCAUGAGAAAUGGAGAUAUGGUAUAUAACUCAGAGAUUAUUCCAGCAACGCUUCAGUGGACUACAGAUAAUGGGAAUAUUCUCAGGGAGACUGUGACAGUUACAUUUGCAGAAGGAAAUUCACGGAGAGAAUCAAUGACCACCAAAGUGGAAGCAAAUCAAAUAGGAGGUUCUUUGUCUCCAGAGCCAACCCACUUGCUCUCCUCACUUUCCGCAUUUCAGCCCAAAAUAUUUGCACAAUUGCAGGUACCAUUUCCAUGAGCAAAGUUAAGCAGGAACCCAAAGAACCGGCAUUGUCUAUGGAAGCAAAAAAAAUUUUGGACUGUAAGAAAUUACCUUCUACAUAAAUUAUUGAAGUUUUCUAGAAUUUAUAAUUCUGGUCACGUCUGAUGUCUUAGAAAAGAAGGUUGAUAAACUAGAAAUGUCAACUAUAACUGUCAAGAAAUCAACCUACAGGCUUUUAUUCCCCCCAGACAUCAUUUGUGGGUAUAUUUAAAAUUCUAUUUUUAAACAAAGGGAUUUUAAAUGAAUAAUGUGUUUAAUAUUCAAUGCAUGCACAAUAUAAUAUGACUUUUAACCUUAAUACUUUGCAUAAAUAUAAGUCACUUCUGGCUUUUCUAAGUCCAGUCUACCAUUUUUAAUUCACUUUGUUUCAGGUAUAUGAAAUACAUCUAAGUAUAAAGCAUUCUUAAUUAGAAGUGGGUAGAAUUCUAAAAUUCCUUGCUCUUUAGAUUUAUAUACUAUUUAAUAUAAAGUUUAUUAUUUAUGCCCUAUUUAAUACAAAGUUAAUAUUCAGUUACAUAAAUGAUUUUUGUAAGAAUGGAUUUUCUUUUUCUAAGGAUUGAAAAUAUAUGAUGUAAACAUUUAAAGAGGUAGGCCACCAAAUCUGAUUAUGUAAUAUUAAAUUAAACCUUAGUUACCUCAAACCCAGAUUUCUCUUAGUCUGUGUGGGCCUAAAACGAAUUAGUCCAAAUUACUUUAUAGUUCAGUGAUGCACUGUCGGUAAUAUUCUUUACAUUUAUUAUUUUUAGUUUUUAUGGAAAGACUUUAUAUAAUAAGAUCUUCACCUUUUAAUAAUGGUAAUGGCUUAUAGUAAAUAUUUCAUCAAUUGAGCUGUAUUCUUUUAGAGACAUUACUUUCAUUUUGAUGUCGAGUUGCUAAGGAGAAAUGCUUGUUAAGAUACAAACCCUCGUCAGUUAAUUAUGCCAAUGAGAGAUAUCAAAGGAUUCAGACUUUGGCACUUGAUCAAGAACAAAUAUAGUUAAAACAUAUUUCUAUCACUUUGUCUAUGUGAAUGUCUCUUCUGAUACAGUUUUUUUUAUUGUGAGGACAGAAAGUGACAGUGCAUCCUCCCCACAAACAAACAAAAAAGAAUAAAACAAGAGCAUGAAGGAAGGUUUAAAUCCCUAAUUGUAUACUCUUUUGGUUUUUAGGUAGAAACUGGAACUAUCAAUAUUUUCAUGUAAGUAUUUCAUUAAGUAGCUCUUUAAACAUGGUUUUUAAAUGAGUUUUUAGAAAUUCAUUUAUCCUCUAAAUGCAUGUUCAGUCAGAAUGUAGCAGUAUUGUGCUUAAAGGUGCUUAGCAUUGCUUUAUAAAAACUGUGUUUACGUAUUUUUAAUGUUUAAUUAUUUUUUUGAAUACACAGGGAAUCAAGUACAAGUGCAUAAAAUUCACAGUGUCUAUAUUUGGCAUUCUCCUAACAGCUCUAUAGCAAAAUUUAACCUAUAUUCUUUUAUGUCAUACAUGACAAGCUGUAAUGUCUACCUCAGUGAGUUGGGCAUUCAGAAUAAGUAGUUAGAAAUUCACAUUUACAGCUGAUCUUGUUUCUUCAUUACAGUUUUCAUAUGCUAAGCCUCCAGGUAAACUUCUUAUAUAUUACAGUGAAUUAGAUAAAAACAGCCAUGGUGGGCCUUUCCCUCAAAGGCAAUUUUCUGUGUAAACAGUUAAUAUACUUAAAAGCAAAGACUUUUAUAUCUUAUGCAAGGUAAAUUUCCUAAAAGACACAAAAGUGAUGGAAAACAUAAGUUUGGGGGUCGGUUCCUGCAUUAGAGUUUCUAAUUUUGAGGUCCACCAGCUUGUGUAUUAUAUUUCUUUAUAUGCUGUCAAAAUUCAUAAUUAAUCAUAUGGGUGUGGGAAAAAAUGUUUAAUUUGUACCAGGUUUAAAAAGAGAUUUUAAAAUGUAUGUGUGUGUUUGUGUAGUAACUUAAUAUAUAGUGUCCCUGUUAUAAUGUAAUUGUUUUCAUUUUAAGAUACUGUGAUAUUUCUUUCUUAAACUUGUUAGUUUCCUUUUUUUACUUUUCAUGGAGUUAGUGGUAGUUUUUUUUAUCUUGAAGAUGCUGAAUGAACAUUUUAAUACCUGAGAACUUUUACUAGAGAUUUAUGUUUAUUUUGGAACCUGAAAGUUUUUAAGCACAACUACCAGUAACUCCUGUUUAGCAUUAGAUUUUGGGAUAUAUAUACAUUUAGUAUUCUUCAACUCAGCCACUUAUCCAAAUUUUAAAACAAUGCAUAUAAUAAGAUUUAAGUAAUCCUUUUUAUCCUGCAUUUUGGCAGUGUGACAUUUUCAGUUACAGCUUUAUAAUUUAGAAGUGAUAACAGAAGUAUGUGAUUGAAAAAGGAGGGGUCAUUAAUUUUUUCCCUCUUUGUUUUUUUUCUUUAUUUCUACUGUGUGACUGUUUUUCAGGGCCAUAAAAAAUCUUAGUCUCUCCUGAAGGGAGAAUGAAUUCACCCUUCUUUGUCCACUGUUUUGGGCUUCAAACAUCUCAUAUAGUGUACUGUUUUGAUAUCUGAACAUCUGUAAUUCUAUUUAAUUAACUUAGUUGUAAUGACAAAGCCUUAGUAUACUUUUGCCACAUACAUGUUGGGUAUGACUCUUUAAAUAAUGCAAGUAUUCAUUGCCUACUGAAUUCUUAAAACUUCAGGAAGGAAAUCAGUAUUUUUAAAAAAGCCUCAUUUUUUAAUGGAUGCUGAAAUGAUUCAUGUGAAAAAUGAAUAAAUUUUAUGGUUAAAAAAAUACCUUUGGGAAUGUGAUAUGGAUAUAAGAAUGCUAAAAGUGGAGUAUAUGAUGGGAAUAUGAUACCAUGAAGGUUUUUAUUUUUAAACAUCUUUAUUGAGGAAUAAUUGACAUACAGUAAAUUGCACGUAUUUAAAGUGCACAACUUGAUAAGUUUUGACAUUCAUAUAGAACUAUGAAAAUGCCACAAUCAAGAUAAUAAACAUACUAAGAACAAAGUUUCCUAGUACCCCUUUUUAAUUCCUCCCUCCUAGACAACCACUAAUUUGCUUUUUAUCAUUAAGAGAUCAGUUUGCUUUUUUUCAAUUUUAUAUAAAUAAAAUCAUAUAGUAUGAGUAUUUUGAUGGCUUGUGGUAUUUGGCAUAUAGUUAUUUUGAGAUUCAUCUAUGUUAUAGUCUGUAUGAAUAGUUCAUUCCUUUUUAAGGUGGACCAUUAUAUUCCAUUGUAUGAAUAUACCGCAAUUUAUCAGUUCACCUGUUGAUGGACAUA